CAAGAAGCUUUGCCCACCCACCAUUCUUAAAGGAUAAUGUGGACGAACGGGCAAGUUUUUACUCCAGACCACCAGACAGACAGUUGGCUACCCUUGCCUCCACUAGGCUACUGUGGAUGCUGCUGCAUGGAGGUGACAACAAGCCACAGACAGACCAACCAGGGAGCAUCUCCUUGACUUGAUUUAACCACAGCCAUCUCCCCGGUGCCUUUGCCUGACAUGCAGCUCCAAAUCAUCAAGGACUGAGGGAAUAUUGAUGUCUUCUUCAGGCAGUCAUCUUUGUAAAUCUCACUGGAACAGCACCAAACAAAAGUUCCAGCAUCAUCAUUGUGUCAAGAGUCAAGAAUCUGCAUUGGACAAAGUGUCAAGUCAAGAAUCUGCAUUGGACAAGGUGUACGCCCCACAGAAACUCUAACCAGCCUCUGGACCACAACUGGAAUCUUCCAUCAUGCUACGUUUGCUGUCAAGCCAGUAGACCGACAGCCGGUAUCCAGUGCUACCUAACACUCCUUUAACAUAGCGCUAUGGAUGUACUAAACAUUUUAUCGAUUUAUUCAUUGAAUUAGUAAUAUUAACAAUUGAUAUGCACGAAGUAGCUUGAUUUCAGUAGCUGUUCAUCUAUCUGUCCUAUUUUUUAGAAAGGAUAUGAAUAUUGCUGUUAUAGUUGGUGGACAUAAACAUGAAGACAUUUUCCUUCUACUUCCACUUCUCUUUAUGCCAGCAACACACUUUACUGAAGAGUCAGAAGUGGAUUUUUUUGGUACUGUGUUUAUUUUUUUUACACUUGAAUGUAGGAGUGGGAACCUCUUGGUACCUCAUGAUACGAUUUGCGAUACAAAGCUCACGAUAACGAUGAUCUGACGACAUGGCGAUACAACGAUUAUCGAUAAAUUGGUCAAGAAAUUAUUCUAGAAUAUUCUAGAAACAACUAAUGAACAGAAAAACAAGCUUCUGCUGUGAAAUGGAAUGAGUUUAUCACUAGUAGACGUCCAAUCCAUUUGAACUGGGAGGGUGGCAGCGAAUGAACAUUCGUUCAUUCGCUGCCAUCCCUCCCACUUCAAACGGAUUGAACGUCUAUGGUUGUCAUUGGCAGUAAAUGCCAGGCAAUGAUGUAAUCUUGGGCCAUUUAAGGUGAUUUACCUGUUGAUUUUCAGUUACUUCCUGUUGAUUUGGGGGUAUUUUAUGGGUCACUUCCUGUUUAUUUUGCGUUACAGAACAGGAAGUGACCUGGGAAUCAUCAAAUGAAUAGGCAGUGACUCAAACUCAACAGGAAAUGACCUGUAAAUGAACAGCAAGUGACCUGUAAGUGCCCCGAAAAUCGGACAGAAUGACUGCGAAUGCACUGGUUUCGAAUGAACGACCGUUCCCAGUCUAAAUGGAUUGGGCGUCGAGCACUGUCAAUGGCAGCCUUAGAGUUAACUGAGACACUAUUAUGGUGGAAGAAGUUGGUAGCAACUUGUUGGUUCCUUUUUUUUUUUUUUUUUUUUUUUACACAUUGACACCUUUUUAAAAUGAUAUCUUGAUUCUUGGUAGGAGCAUAUCGAUAACCUUUUGGGAUAGUAUCACGAUAUAUCAAUAUUUCGAUAUUUUUUGUCACACCCCUACUUCCCCUACUUGAAUGCCACGGAAAAUGUGACAGAGCAUAAUGGAUGACGUCAACACUUCCAUAUUCGUACCUUGAUUUGCAGAUGAAUUGACCUACAAUUUUUAGAUGUACAGCAGUCACACGACUGUUUUUUUUUUUUUUUUUGUCUUGAGCACAUUUUUUGAAUGGAAAGCUUAAGAUGGUGGCAGCAAACCACACAGCUAGCAGAAGCUUGGCAGAUAGCCCAAUUCUUCUAUAGAUAAGAUAAGUGCUUUGAGUUAGAAGUGUUGUCAAAUUGAAUUCAUAAGUCAAGGCUCCAUUAUACUAUAUGCUAAAAGUUACAUAAUUUAAGGAUGACCAGUUUUAUGAGAGCCUGAGCAUCAGGUAGCGUGAAGGCCCUCUUAAAGUGGUUGUUCUAUAUUUUUGUGGGGGGUUGGAACAACACAUUUCACAAGUAUGUUUAUCCUACUGUAAAAUGUUACUUGCCUGUACAGGUGAUCAAUGUUUCUUAUGGUAAAAAAAAAAAUAAUCCUGGAUCUUAUUUGUUUUUCUGCUAUUACCAAUGUGUUUUAAAAAAUAAAAUAAAAGUAAGCGCAUACCAUCAGUCGUGACUUUUUAGGGUUAAGGUUUUUUACUGGAAGUGAGGUGACUCACUUGUGUGAUACACCUGAAACAAGCCAAUUUGAGUUUUAGUUUAUAUACUAUUGCUCAGGAAAAUAACUUUUAAUUUGAUGUCUCAUUAUAGUUCUCAUUGGCAGGCAGUUAAAAAAAAGUUGCCAAUAAAUCAAAGUGCCCCGAGAGGUAAUGGCAAGGUCGCUCUUAAAAAAAGUCUCUAAAAGGAGGCUAGGAGAAGCAAAUGAUUGGAUAUAAGGGUUAUAAAAGUUCAUAUAUCCUUUGAGUCUUUCUUAAAUUUGGUCGCUAAGCUCAAAGAAGUUAGCAAAAUGAUGUCUGUGUGUGUCCGGCCAUCCUGUAAUCACAUGGCACGAUCACAGAGCGACGAUGGCCUGAGGCAGCAUGGAUACGUUCCAAAAAGAGUUCUUGAAAUUAGACUAACUUAAGGUUGUCGGGUUCAUCCACAUUUAAUGUGAAAAGGCUUGAUUGUCUUGAUGUAGCGCUCAUGGCUGUGUGCAAAUCACUGGAGAAAGCUUUGAAUGGCUGGCCUAUCCUAAAUGUGACUGUGCCUAAUGGUGGACUCAAUCAAUGAGAGAGACAGACAGAGUAAGGGAGUUUGCCUUGAAUGAUGAUGCAUAUACGUCCAAUGACAGUGUUGAAAUUAAUAAAACACCACCAACUUUUAAAGGGAUCCUCAGACUUAGACUUGUAGGCUCUAAUAAGCCACACAUUCUUUUUCUUUUACUAAAUUAUGUUAUUAGAAAUACAUAUAUUAUUGCCAUGGAUUUAAAAAUCUAUAAUGUUUAGAACAUUUUUUGACCUACGGAGGGCGCCAUUUUUACGCGCGCACUGCACGCUGGGGGUGAUGACGCAGUUGGCCUGGACUGGGAGAAAAGCUAUGCUAGCUAGCAAGUGAAGCUAGUAUGACGACUGGCAUGAUUUUGUCACAUUCUUCUGCUGGUCAGAUUGUGUUGUUACAGAGAUGUGGAAUGAGUUAUCAACGUUGUACCUGCAUCCAAGUCUAGCUCACCGACAGUGUCUUUAAAUCGAUCCUAGGCGGCUUGUGUUGACUUGCUGCCAUUUUACAGUUUGUAUAUCCUGUUGCCUCUCACUGCGGUUCUCCCCUUUUUAAAAAAAAAAAAUUUAAACCCCGAUGUACUGUAAUGUCCCUUUUUGUGAUUUCGCGUUUUUUUGUGUGUUCAAUAAAGCCUUGUACGCAAUCCCGGUGUUCUUGCUGUCUGAAGUGAGCCGCGUUUUUAAUUCCGUGGUCAAGCCAGCCGCACUUUCUUUUCUUUUUUUUUUUUAACCUGUCCUGUUCAGCUGUUUGACACAGAGAAUGGAAGUCUAAGUGCCCGGAUAGUCUGAACAGUUAUAAGGUUUCACAUUGAGAGUCUGACAUAUUCCCAUUGUGAUCAUUCAAAAUACCUUUUUAUUAUGACAGAGCAGCGAACAGGAAGGGAUUAUGGGGGGACAGAAGAAAAGAAACACAAGAGAAGAAAGAAACACA